rnacentral:tRNA from 1 species
GGAGAGGUGGCUCAGUGGUUAAGAGCACUGGCUGCUCUUCCAGAGGACCCAGGUUCAAGUCCUAGCGCCUGCA